rnacentral:rRNA from 1 species
CCGGCACGGGUGAGUAACACGUAUGCAACCUACCUUUAACAGGGGAUAACACUGAGAAAUUGGUACUAAUACCCCAUAAUAUGGGCGCUCCGCAUGGAGAGCCCAUUAAAGAGAGCAAUUUUGGUUACAGACGAGCAUGCGCUCCAUUAGCCAGUUGGCGGGGUAACGGCCCACCAAAGCGACGAUGGAUAGGGGUUCUGAGAGGAAGGUCCCCCACAUUGGAACUGAGACACGGUCCAA